GGGCGGUUGCCGGAGUGGUCAAACGGGGCGGGCUGUAAACCCGCUGGCGAAAGCCUUCGGGGGUUCGAAUCCCUCACCGCCCA
rnacentral:tRNA from 1 species